AGAGAUGGGUACCUUCCCGCAAGGGAACCGGGAUACAGGUGCUGCAUGGCUGUCGUCAGCUCGUGUCGUGAGAUGUUGGGUUAAGUCCCGCAACGAGCGCAACCCUCAUCUUCAGUUGCCAUCAGGUUAAGCUGGGCACUCUGAAGAAACUGCCGGUGACAAGCCGGAGGAAGGCGGGGAUGACGUCAAGUCCUCAUGGCCUUUAUGGGCUGGGCUACACACGUGCUACAAUGGCGGUGACAAUGGGACGCGAAGGGGCAACCCUUGGCCAAUCUCAAAAAGCCGUCUCAGUUCGGAUUGUCCUCUGCAACUCGAGGGCAUGAAGCUGGAAUCGCUAGUAAUCGCGGAUCAGCACGCCGCGGUGAAUACGUUCCCGGGCCUUGUACACACCGCCCGUCACACCAUGGGAGUUGGUUUUACCCGAAGGCGGCGCGCCAACCGCAAGGAGGCAGCCGACCACGGUAAGGUCAGCGACUGGGGUGAAGUCGUAACAAGGUAACCGUAA
rnacentral:rRNA from 1 species